AAACCCUAUUUUGUCUCUCCAAACCUUUAUUUUCAAAAACCCACAGCCGUCUAGUUCGAAUCUAUCACUCACUCAAAUCUCUCACUCUCUUGCUCUCUCUCAAUUCUUCUUCAGAGCGAUUGCGAUUUCGAAAUUUCUCAGAGCCAACCUAUCUGCAUCCGUAUGGCUUCAAUCUUCUAGUUUCUCAGAGCGAUUGCAAUUUUGACGUUUAGCUUUGAGCACUACUGUCUACAAUCUCAGAAAAACCAAUCGAAUCCUUCAAAAUCUGCUUCAGCUCUGGGAUUUAUCUCAUAAUGACAUCUCGGUGAUUUCGAUUUUGAUUUCAAAGCUCUCUCUGUCUUUCUAUUUUGAAGAUCAAGGCAUUGCAUAUGCGGAGAUCAAGGCAUUGAGAGAAGGCAGAAAGUUUUGCUUGUAUGAUACUUGGGAGCAAAUGAUGUAGAAUAGAAGACAAACCUAGCAUAGCUGUCAUUGUGGUGACAAAGGAAGAUAAAUAAUUGGCAAUUUAUCAAGACAGAAAUGAGUCCAGAUGGAGGCCACUUAAGCAGAGGAUGUAAGUAGCUCUGCUAGGAGGACUUGGGAGUCUCUUCUAUUGUGUAGACAUUUUUUUUAAUAGUUCUAUUUAGUCUCUACCAAUGCCACUGGGGAGUCACUUUUGUAAGAUCCUUAUAUUUUUAAUAUUUGUUGUUGCUGCUUUGUUCAUUUUUAAAGCAGUAGCUAUGAUGAGAGCCUUGAAGGUUGUAAUUGUUAAAACAGCUUAUGGGGUCUGUGCAAUUUUUUUGGCAAAUCAUCUCUUUUAAAUGUUGUUCAUCUCACACUGAUGAGAGCAACUCUUGAAGUUUAAGUAAUUUGACUUCUUCUUGACCA